AAUGAGCGAAUAUAACAAUAAAAAUACUUUACUCAAAUGAAGAAAUCCUUUUUGAAUAUUCUCAAGGUGGAUGAACGCUUGAAUGAAUGCUUGAGAAGAGGAUGAUUGUUGAUUGAAGAUCUCUUGAAGGCUUUGAAAGAUCUCUAGAUCAAGGUUGAAACAAUAGGCGUGACAAAUCCUCUCUUUGAAUGCUCUUGAAUCUCUUUCACAAUCUCUCGUGUGGAUUUUGGAUCCUCUUUUCUUUUUCUCUCGAAUCACUUCAUGUAUAUUUUGGAUCCUCUCUAUUGUAUUUUUGAUCUCACGUUUGAU
rnacentral:lncRNA from 1 species